CUACGGGUUGCUGCAGUGGGGAAUUUUGCACAAUGGGCGAAAGCCUGAUGCAGCGACGCCGCGUGGAGGAUGAAGGCCUUCGGGUUGUAAACUCCUUUUGUAGGGGAAAAUAAUGAUGGUACCCUGUGAAUAAGCCACGGCUAACUCUGUGCCAGCAGCCGCGGUAAGACAGAGGUGGCAAGCGUUGUUCGGAAUUACUGGGCUUAAAGGGCGCGUAGGCGGCAAGAUAAGUCUGUGGUGAAAUCCUAUGGCUUAACCAUAGAAUUGCCAUGGAAACUGUUUUACUUGAGUCAGCGAGGGGAUGGUGGAAUUCCUGGUGUAGCAGUGAAAUGCGUAGAUAUCCGGAGGAAGGCCGGUGGCGAAGGCGGCCAUCUGGCGCUGAACUGACGCUGAGGCGCGAAAGCGUGGGUAGCAAACAGGAUUAGAUACCCUCGUAGUC
rnacentral:rRNA from 1 species